CUGAGAUCCUGGAGCUGGCCGGCAAUGCAGCGAGAGACAACAAGAAGGGGCGGGUCACACCGCGGCACAUCCUGUUAGCAGUGGCCAAUGAUGAGGAGCUAAACCAGCUGCUAAAAGGAGUCACCAUAGCCAGUGGGGGCGUGUUGCCGAACAUCCAUCCUGAGUUGCUAGCGAAGAAACGAGGAUCCAAGGGAAAAUUGGAAGCCAUCAUCACGCCUCCACCAGCCAAAAAGGCCAAGUCUCCAUCCCAGAAGAAGCCAGUGGCUAAGAAAACAGGAGGCAAGAAAGGGGCCCGGAAGUCUAAGAAGAAGCAGGGAGAAGUCAGCAAGGCAGCCAGCGCAGACAGUACAACGGAGGGCGCGCCUACAGACGGCUUUACUGUCCUCUCUACCAAGAGCCUCUUCCUCGGCCAGAAGCCGCCCGAGUGAUGCAGCUUUGCCAGGACGCCAUGGUUUUGUAAAAGUCGAUUCGCUCUUACUGAGAAUAAAAAUGAUGCAAAGGCUUUUAA
rnacentral:lncRNA from 1 species